UUGGAGGGCAAGUCUGGUGCCAGCAGCCGCGGUAAUUCCAGCUCCAAUAGCGUAUAUUAAAGUUGUUGCAGUUAAAAAGCUCGUAGUUGAAUUUCGGGAUUGACACAUCGGUCGUGCCUUAAGGGGUAUGAACUGGUGUAGUCAGUUUCUCACCUUCUGGAGAACCGCGAUGUCCUUAAUUGGGUGCCGCGAGGAACCAGGACCUUUACUUUGAAAAAAUUAGAGUGUUUAAAGCAGGCAUUUUGCUUGAAUACAUUAGCAUGGAAUAAUAAAAUAGGACGGAUGGUUCUAUUUUGUUGGUUUCUAGGAUCACCGUAAUGAUUAAUAGGGAUAGUUGGG
rnacentral:sRNA from 1 species